rnacentral:misc_RNA from 1 species
GCAAAUUUCGUAGUUAAGAACAGAUAAUGAAACAGAUCAUAUUGCAACAGCUUCUGUAGAAAUUUCUCCAUUUCAGAAUGUAUCUAAAGUUGAAAAGUGAAGAGCCAUUUUUUCCUUUGGGAAGAUACAAGUGUGAAACAAUCAAUCUAUUGAUAUUGGUAGACUCUAAGGAUUCUUCCUAUAUACAAAACUUGGGCAUUUCAUAAGAGUUCAUUAACCAAUUCAUGUUUACAAUACCAAUUCUCUUCAUUGCUCAAAGGAAUGAGGUAUCGAUCAUCAUCAAUAUUCCCACAGCUAUAUUAUGUCCGCAACAAUAUUACAAUGGUGGUAUGACACAGAAUAGCACACUCAUGCUGUAUAAUUUAUUAUCUUACAAAAUGUAGACGUCUAAAUAAUCUGCUGAACCAUCUCUUGAACUUCACAGUAUGAGAUCAUACUAUGAACGGUUGCUUAAAUCCAACCCGGCCACGUUUCCUCCUCGGAUUGGCAUUGAUCAUGUCACAAAGGGUAUUUAGAAGCUCUGAAUCUUCUUCAUUUACAAGGAUCCUUGCUGCACUUGGAUUGUCAAGAAGGAGCUUGGCAACAAGAUAACCUGCAAUUGACCAGGUUUGAAAUAGCCGAGCCUGUUUUCCAAUAAACCUUGCUUUCUUAGUAUCAUAGUAUUCUGGCCACUUGUCUCUAGAUAUGCGCCGCUCAGCAAGCUUAACUGCUCUUUCUGCAAUCUUUGGUCUAUUCAUCUUUAUGCAAGCCACAGUGAGCUGAAAGAAGCCUCUUAAAUAUGUUAGCUAAAUACAGAUUACUUACAUCACAACUCUAUGCAAAGAAAAAAUGGAUAAUUUCACAAAUGUACCAUGUGAUUGAAGGCUUUAUCACUUAAAGAAUAAAAUUUCAUUUUUAUCAAAAUGGUACUCUGAGCUUCUGCACAGUCACAGUCUAUUAAAUUGUUAAACAUAAUGCUGAUGUGAUGAUGUUUUUGAAAUACUGGCAAUGAAUUAAGCUUGUCGCCUCAGUGAACCAUUAACUGCUUCAAGGGACAAUCUAACAAGAUUAGUUCAAGAUACAGUUUUGAUUAGAAUGAAAGUUUUGAUAAAGAGCUAAAUCACAAGUUACAAAAUUAUUCCAAGAAAAAAUCAACAGAAAAUGGCAGUUUGUAAAUGCUCCAGUACUACACAAAUUAGAGUGAUAAAGCACUCUAUGAAUUACCCAAUGCAUAGAAGAUAAUAAGAUACGGUUACACAAAUAUUGAGAUGGUUAGAAAACUGUGUAGUUAUAUAACUGUAUGCACAUGAAUGGGAGGUGAAAAGGGAUAUAUAUAACCCUGAUAAAAAAAAAGGUACAUCUGGAUUGCAGGAUGAGCUACAGCCUAAUCAAUGUGGUUGAAGAAUUGCCUCACCCAAUCAACUUUCAGGAAGCAACACCCCAAGAAUACCCAGGCAACAAAAUAUUUGGAACACAGGCAACCACUCCAAUUGUUUGACCAUGACCAUGACAUGUGGCAUAUAAAGUUGCAAAACCAUAUAAACGUAAAACUAGAGACAGUAUCAGGACAGAGAUUAGGAAUCUGAUCAUGCCCAAUGCCAAAGGGAAAUGAAGCCUCUGUUUAGUUUUAUAUGAAUUCUAAUAAAUAAAAGCAGGACCUAGCAGUGUUGGCAACCAUAAUGAACCCUCUUAAAAAUGAUUAACCUUUCAAAUUGUCAACAUUGAUGGCUCAUCUACAACCACAAAGUAUUCUCAUAUUAGUCUUGAAAUGAAUGUACACGAAAAGAACAUAUCUUCUGACAUCAUAUACUUACGAAGGGUAUGAAUAUCAUAUGCAGAAAUUUGACAGAAAUAUGCCCAUUUUAGAUUGCACAUAAACACAAUAUCAGAUCGCAGGCAGCAAGAAAGAGAGGCUAAACAUAAAUCUCACUGGUCUUCUAGUUCAUUCAUGUUAUGCAGUGGCAAAGCCUUGUCAUGGUUGCAGUUAUUAUUCUUACAUAAGAUCAAAAGCUCAUAAAGGUUUGUUAAAAUGACCUAAACACUAACAAUUGCCAAAACGAAAGAUGCUAGAAGGAUGGCAGUGGCAGAAUAUAAAGUUCAUUACAGCUCUGUUAUAGAAAGAUGAAUAAACCAGUGAGUUGAAAUUCAGAAACACUAAACUAACCUGCCAGAGUAAAGUUGGCCAAGAACCUCCAUUGUGGUAAGACCACGGACUGCAGCAAAAUGCAAGUCAAGGAUUGGUGGAAGAAAGCUAGUAAUAACACAUAGUAAAAGCAAAUUAAGAAGUGCAGCAUGCGGAUCAAGGUAAAGCAUUUACGUGUUCUUAGGAUCACUGCCUGUAAUAAUUCGCCAUUCCUGGCCCUCAAGACUGGGAUAGCAUAUUUUGAAUGGCAUCUCAGUCACUAAAUCUGCCCAUUUUGCUUCAAUAAGAUCCAAUAUGGCAUGUGACUGAUCCACCGUUGCAAGACUACUUAUUAUAGACCAUAAGUUUCCAAGAGAGAAGAAACGGAAGUCCAUGUGAGCAGGCUGCAGGUUUCCAAUCAAAUAACCUCCUCUAUUUGGCAUGAAGUCCACUAACCAUGAAGGGAUUUGAUCCGGGUAGAUAUUAAACUUAUUGACUGCAUCAUAUGAGUAUUCCUCAGUCUUGUAACGGUAGAUCUCAUUAAUUUUUUUCAUAUCAAUCCAAUAGUAUUCCCUUAUGUGGAAAGAUAGCGCAACUAGACGAUUGUUAAGAGCUCUAAUGAGGUCAGCUGAUCCAUCCUCGGGAGCAAGCAUUUCACGUGCACAAAGUAAUGCUGAAUAAAAGAGUGCCUGAAUCUCCAAUGGAUGUCCAUGAAUUCCCAUGCGACGAUCUAUCAUGCAAGAACCAUCCGUCACCAAUAACGUUGGAAACAUAUCAAAACCAUCAGCAAGACACAGUUUUAAAAUCAUUUUAAUCCCAGUUUGCACAUCAACUCUCUCUUGCACGGAAAGAUCUCCGGAGCAUUUUCCAUAAGCUCGUAACAAUAUAAUCCACCACAAUCCAGAAUCAACUGGUGCAACUCGGCCAAUUGCUGCUUCACCAAAGUCAGGAUCUAAAAUGUCCUCAGUAGCAGAAUCAUCACCAUCAAGGGGAACAGUGCGCACCUUGAAACUAGCAGGCAUCAACCCUUGACCAGGACUAUGACAAUCCAUGGUUUUCUCCCAACUCUGCAAUUGAAGGGUAUAAAGGAUGAAAUUCCGUACAAUAUCAUACUCUCCCUUCAAAAGGAAAGCUAUUCCUGAAGGAAUGAAGUCUCGAAUAAAGACCUGAUCAUAGUUCAGAAUGCUAGUAUCGGAUGGAUCAUUAGCAGCAAUUGUCCCAAUAGGAUUACCACAAUAGUAAACAACUGAUGCUCGGAGGAGAUCCCAUGCUUCUUCCUCAACUGAUCCCUCAUGUGCCUUGUGUGAUUUUUCCCUAACUGUUGCUGCUGAAGCUACAUUACCAUUCACUGUGACACCUACUGUAUUUACAGGACGUGAUAUAGGUGGUAAAUUCUCAUUUGCAGUUACCCCACUAACACUAUCAGCCCUUUGGCACUUGAAUCUCAUAGAUUCCAGCCUCUUAGCACGUUGAGUUUCCACAUAGCAUGCAACAUCCUCACCCUGACAUGCAUUGAUCCACGUAUAUUUCCAUAACAUUCUCGAACAAUUUUUUGACUUUUGGUACAGUGAACCUCCAUUAUUUCUACAGUUUACUCUGGAUUUAAAGAAAAGCACAGACUUCCAAUUGUUGAUAUAUGGAUCAGAACAACAAGUGUGAGGUAAACCACCAGAUAGAGCUCGUAAAACUGCUUCUGAAGCAGCCAUGGUCAUGCUGAAAGUUAUGGUUGUUAAUUUCUUCAACUCAUUACACAAGAGAGGACAACCUCUCCACUUACAAUAAAUAAAGACCUCUUAUCUCUUCAAGUUUUGAUUUUUGGGUGUCUAUAUGCUUCAAGAUACUUGUUUUCUCGGGAAAGAAGGAAGGAUUUUGGACAGUUAUGGCAAAGCUUUUCCUUUUCUCGGCGGCCAAACAAGAUUUCCUCUGGAGACGAUUCGGAUGUAAGGCCAAACGGCAGCGUUUAGGGGAUAAUCCAUUUCUCCAACAGCAACUCGGUGACAAGUGGUGAGAUUAUAUGCGACGAGGGUAAAGAGAUUGGAUUGGGCUUCAAUGUCGAAUUUCACACCAGGUAUGGCAAUA